UACGGAGGGAGCUAGCGUUGUUCGGAAUUACUGGGCGUAAAGCGUACGUAGGCGGUUAUUCAAGUCAGAGGUGAAAGCCCGGGGCUCAACCCCGGAACUGCCUUUGAAACUAGAUAGCUAGAAUCUUGGAGAGGUCAGUGGAAUUCCGAGUGUAGAGGUGAAAUUCGUAGAUAUUCGGAAGAACACCAGUGGCGAAGGCGACUGACUGGACAAGUAUUGACACUGAGGUACGAAAGCGUGGGGAGCAAACAGG
rnacentral:rRNA from 1 species